rnacentral:rRNA from 1 species
UACGAGGGGGGCAAGCGUUGUUCGGAAUUAUUGGGCGUAAAGGGCGCGUAGGCGGUUUGGCAAGUCUUAUGUGAAAUCUACAGGCUCAACUUGUAGUCUGCAUGAGAAACUGCCGGGCUUGAGUAUGGGAGAGGUGAGUGGAAUUCCUGGUGUAGCGGUGAAAUGCGUAGAUAUCAGGAGGAACACCUGUGGCGAAAGCGGCUCACUGGACCAUAACUGACGCUGAUGCACGAAAGCUAGGGGAGCAAACAGG